rnacentral:rRNA from 1 species
CAGUCGCCGCGGGAAUACGAAGGGGGCUAGCGUUGUUCGGAUUUACUGGGCGUAAAGGGCGCGUAGGCGGACUGAUAAGUCAGGGGUGAAAUCCCAAGGCUCAACCUUGGAACUGCCUUUGAUACUGGGUAUCUUGAGUAUGGAAGAGGUGAGUGGAAUUCCGAGUGUAGAGGUGAAAUUCGUAGAUAUUCGGAGGAACACCAGUGGCGAAGGCGGCUCACUGGUCCAUUACUGACGCUGAGGUGCGAAAGCGUGGGGAGCAAACAGGAUUAGAUACCCCUGUAGUCCCUGUCUCUUAUAC